rnacentral:lncRNA from 1 species
CUUCUUCUUCUUCUUCUUCUUCUUCUUCUUCUUCUUCUUCUUCUUCUUCUCUCCUCCUCCUCCUCCUCCUCCUCCUCCUCCUCCUCCUCCUCCUCCUCCUCCUCUUAACUAACGUGUGCAAUUUGGCAUUAUUGGAGUAAUUUUUCUUAUAAUUUUCUUAGUUUUUGUCUUUGCUUUCCAACACUAACGACUGUAAUGGCCGAACUGGUCGUUAAGAGGUGAUGGCGGACUAUAUUUAGUCUUGUUAGCGGUAAUGACUCAUUUUGUAGUCGCGGUUGCCGAUUUAUUGGUGUGUGUGUGUGUGUGUGUGUGGCGAGAGAGGGAGAGCGAUAAAGACUCAUUAUUAUAGUUAUUAAGCAACCUUCCUUCUCUCUCUCUCUCUCUCUCUCUCUCUCUCUCUCUCUCUCUCUCUCUCUCUCUCUCUCUCGUUAAGCCUGCAUUUACUUAGGUUAUUAUAAUAUUAGGCACUUUAAAAAGACUGAGGGAAAAGAAUAUAAGUGUAAAUAAUAUGAAAGAAAAAGGAAUGAAAGAAUACCACUGUUUACAUUAUUAAUUAAAAGUGUAUGUCAUCUCUUUUCUUUUGUUUCUUUUUCUUUUCUUUUUUUAUUUUCCCCCACCCUGUUUUGUAUCUUCACUUUUUAUCCUCUCUCUGUCUAUCUUCGCUCUUUUUUUUUUUUUUUUUUCUCUCUCUCUCUCUUCGCUCUCUCUUUCACACCAUAAAAUCCCUUCCAGCCUUUCCCCGUCAGUAUAUUGCACCAUUAUAACCAUUGUAUUUUUCCACACGAUUUUGUCAAAGAAAACACGAAAACAAACCGUUAAUUCACAAAGUUCCAAAAAUGUGUCAAACUGUCGAGAUGAUUCGGUGCCGCCAUGAGCAACCGAAGUAAACAUUGAGACAGAGCACGUGGAGCCUUCAUCGGCCGACCCUUGCCUGAAUAUUGGUUAGUUUGUUAGUGUUUCUCGUUCUUACUGAUGUCAUUGGAGUUAGUGUUUUCAAAGUGCUGUGAAGAACAAUACUAUUACUACUACUACUACUACGACUACGAGUGGAUACUGCUACAACAACUACAACAACUACAACUACCACCAGUCAUCUCUUGAAAACAGCGGAUGCAACACCGCACAAGGAGAGAUGGAUUCAAGUUAACUCGUCCGCUAAACGGAUUCCGCUGGAACGGAAGCGGAAAGAAGUGACCAUUCCCCGGUUCAUAGGCAAGCGGAACCGUAUGACGUCACACUUACCACGGAUGACGGAAGACGGAAGACGUUAAACCUUGGUGUGAACCGGGCCUAAGGGUGAGUAUAUUAGAAGGGGAGACCAGAAGCAUAGUCUCUCAAUCUCCAUAAUGAGUCAAUUAUUUCCCAUUUUUUUUCGUAAUUGGACAGAUACAGUAAGUCCUUAUACGGUACUUCGUUAUCUGGUAAAUUCCCAGUUACGGUGUUUGGUAAUUACUACCCUCGAUUCUGUUUAUGGUAAGAAAAAAUUCACAGAUACGGUAUCCACUCAUGUUUUGUUUACACUUUACCCCGUACCGUAGCGCCACCACACCGCAGCCACCACAACAAUCCGUCUCUUCCUGCGUUUCCCACUGAACAUACAGUGAAAUCCUUACGGCAUGUUUUUUGUCGAUAUUAUGAAUAAGGGCUGAAAUUCCUACUGUCCCUUAGCCUUGGGAGGGACAUCAUCUGAUGGAAUACGUGGCAAGUGAAAGGUAAAUAAAAACAUUUUCUGUUUUUCUUUUGCGCAGUACUUUACGUUUUUUUUAUAUGACUAUUUUCUUGUGUGUAAGGGUGACUUUCGACGUGCUGGAACACAUCCCCUAUUAUUACAUGUUGUAAUGGGUUCGGUAUACGGUAAUUUUGAUUUGCAGUAAGGUCUUCAGGAAUGUGUAUGUACCGUAUAACGAGGACUUACUGUAUUUUCCUUUAUAAUGGAGACAAAUAUUUUUAGUGGUGAGAAUA